GGAUUCGUGGCAGAGUGGUUGAAUGCACUCGUCUUGAAAACGAUAAUCUAUGUAUAAUAGGUCGUGAGUUCAAAUCUCACCGGGUCCG
rnacentral:tRNA from 1 species